rnacentral:tRNA from 1 species
GCCAGUGUAGCUCAGUUGGCAGAGCGGCUGUUUUGUAAUCAGCUUGUCGGGGGUUCGAUUCCUCCUACUGGCCCCA